ACAUCGAAGCGACGGAGGCGGAGUGGCGGGGCGAUCCCGGCCAGCUCAACUACUCCAGCGCUGGGCACAGUGCCGCACAGCGGAAAUCGCUUACUUUUCCACCUGUUCGUUAAGUUUUCUAGAUCUCCACGUUUUUAACGGCGUGUUGUAUUGUGAGACUGAAGGUAAGUGUAGUUUUUACGAGUUUGUAGGAGGUUGACGUUCGGUGGAAAGACACCAAUUUGUACGGAUCGGGUGGGUUCCCGGUAACCACGUUGCUUUUCUACAAGGGUGCAUUGUACAGUUUACCAGCUGUGAUGUCAGUUUUCAAUGAAUCUGUGCCGUUGGAGGAGCCUUUAUUUAUUUUGGAAAAUGGAGAGACCUACAGAAACCCUACAGAAGUAAAAAUGAGUCAGAUUGUGCUGCCUUGCCAUGCUACACACUGCAAUGAGCUGAGCGCCGGGCAGCUGCUUAAAUGGAUGGACACUACAGCAUGUCUAGCGGCUGAAAGACAUGCUGGGUGUCCUUGCAUUACGGCCUCUGUUGAUGAUAUACAUUUUGAGCAAACUAUCAGCGUUGGUCAAGUUGUUAACAUUCAAGCCAAAGUCAACAGAGCCUUCAACAGCAGUAUGGAGGUUGGGAUUCUAGUGAGCUGUGAGGACCUGUUCAGUGGAAAGCAAUGGAGAAUUUGCAAGGCUUUUGCUACAUUUGUGGCAAGACGCACUGAUUCAGGGAAGGUACAGCUCAAGCAAAUUAUUCCAAAAACUCAAGAAGAGCAGUUAGAAUACAGUAUAGCUGCUGAACGAAGGAGGAUGAGAUUAAUUCAUGCAGAAAUCAUGAAAGAUUUACUGAGCAGUGGCACCAUCCUUAAUGAAUGUUCUGACUGCCAAGAAUACAAAGAUGCUGUUCCAGCUGAAAAGACAAGGGUGGAAAGUGUGGAGCUUGUACUGCCACCUCAUGCCAAUCAUCAGGGGAAUACAUUUGGUGGACAGAUCAUGGCAUGGAUGGAGAAUGUAGCCACAAUAGCUGCCAGCCGCCUGUGCAAUGCAUAUCCCACUCUGAGGACAAUUGAUAUGUUUCACUUUCGGGGCCCUUCAGAAGUAGGGGAUCGUUUGCUCCUGAAAGCUAUUGUCAACAAUUCAUUUAAAAACAGCAUGGAAGUGGGUGUGUGCGCAGAAGCAUAUCAAAGUGGAAAGCCUUUGAGACACAUAAAUAGUGCUUUCUUGAACUUUGUAGUACUAGAUGAUGGACAGCCUCGGAGUUUACCUCGAAUCAAACCAGAGCCUAUGGAUGGUAUACGAAGAUAUCGUGAAGCUAAUGCACGGAAGAAAAUCCGUCUUGACCGAAAGUAUAUUGUUUCAUGUAAACAAACUGAAGUGCCUUUGUCUGUUCCCUGGGACCCUAGUAAUCAGGUGUACCUUAGUUACAAUAAUGUUUCGGCUCUAAAGAUGUUGGCUGCCAAACGAAAUUGGGUUCUUAACUCAGAACAAAAUAAGGUAAGUCUGUAUACAUUGGAAGAGGACAAUUUCCUUUUAUUUAAAGCAGAAAUGACUGUGAACGUGUCAGCUGAACAAGUGUUCUUCUUGCUGUCCGAUCUGAGGCGUAGACAUGAAUGGGAUAAUCAUUACCAGAAAUGUGACAUUAUAAACCUUGUUGAUGAUGAUGAUAUAAUUUACCAUGUUGUCACUCCUUCAACUGGUAAAGGAAGCCUUCCUCAGGACUUUAUUUUGCUGGCUUCAAGAAGACGCCCAUGUGACAAAGGUGAUCCAUAUGUAAUUGCACUAAGAUCAGUUACUCUUCCCACCCAUCCUUCCACUGAACAUUACACAAGGAGUGAGGUCCUCUGUGCUGGAUUUACCAUCUGGGAAGAAUCAGACUGUGUUACUAAGAUAAGUUACUAUAACCAAGCCACACCAGGGAUUCUACCUUACAUCGCCACUGACAUUGCUGGGCUGUCCUCUAACUUCCACGAUAUAUUUACAGUUUGCAGCAAAUUUCUAGAAGAAAACAGAGAAGGAGCAUCUGUGACUAACUUAUAGACAGUAUAAAUAUAUUCUUUAUACAUAAAUCUGUACAAUCUUACUCCUCAUAGAGUACAAGAAGUGGUAGUUUUUACCUUGGACCAUUUGCUUCAAACCAUCUACAGACUGUGGAAUGACCCAUGUCAACUUUGAAUUUUAAUAUAUAUAUUCAUGUUGUAUAGUGGUAAGGUACAAGUGCUUGCCCAAUGUAUCUACCACCUAUAAAUAUUUUUUAUUUGUGCAUUGGUCACCUGUUUUGCACAAUAUAGCAGUUAGAAAAUCUGUGAUAGAAGUAUGUUAAUAGAGAAGACAUUUAUUCAUGAAUUCUUUCAUAUUAGCACACUAAUUGAAAUUCUGCCACUGCUUUCAUUUACUUACUUGAAUUUUGGCCAGAAGAGACUGUUUGUGUUUUGCUGGUGACAGUUUUUUGGGAAAUAUUUACUCUCUUGGUAGGUACUACUUUUUCUAUUGUGUUAUAGGAUAUAUUUGUAACUGGUCUAUUUUUUGCACAUAAUGUAAUAUAUUGGGCCAUGGGCAUGUACUGUAUAAAAACAACCAUGUAUUUAUAGCAUUUAUUGGUGGGACGUUUGCUUUGAUCAGAAAGAAAGUUCGGCAUUUAAAACAUUUCUGUACGACUGAUUUGAUUUUUGGUCAAAAAUUCCUGUGAUGUUAAUAUAACUUAAGCAUCCUAUUAUCCUUAAACAUCCUUCACUUAUUUACUGCAGAAGAAUGAAGGUCCAGUUGUAAAGAAGAUAUGUAUUCCUUUUUGCUAGUUUAAUGUUUUUUUCUAAAUUUUGCUGAUUUUCUGUGAAAGUAUUUUUUCAGGUGGUGGUGUGACUUAAUGGUAUUUGUUUUGCAAACUAAAAAAUCAUUUCACAAAUACAAAAUGGUUUCUUUAGGUUUAUCAAUUUAUAUUGUAGGAGGCAUACGGGAUGGACAGGCAUCCUGGCAGGAAGUUAGGAAGAUCCCUUACCUGGACAGGAGGCCCUGAGAAUAAAGAAAGGCAUCCCUGCCAAAACAAUGAAGGAGGUCGCGCCCAGACAAGGCUGCCCUAGGGGAUGGUUGGACAUCCCAGCCGGAUAUAGUUCCAGUACCUUCCCAAGACGGGAGAAAAGGGAAGGAGAGCGAAAGACUGUCACAGAUGGAUAUCUAGUUCCCUCAGGCACUAGAUGGCAGCAGCACUCCAUGAUGGCUCACAUUCAGGAACCAGCAGGGAUUGCGAGGAGGUGUAGUCCAGCAAUAUAGCCCUGCUGGGGACCAUGGGUGCUGCAAGGGGGUGUGCUGUAGGGAGAUGCGCUCCCCAAUUUAUGGGACAUCCAUAUGACCCGGAAGUACUUCAAUCGGGUAGUGGCCCUGGAACCGGAAAUACUCCUAGGUCCUCAAUAAAAGGGACUGCACUCCCUUAUCCAGGCGAGUUGGAGCUGGGAGGAUGUGGAGGAACACUCAAAUGGAGGCCGGCACGUGUGGUGGUGAAAGGAGAGGUGAUUAAGAGAAUAUUUGUAUAUAGAGAAGACCUAUGUUUGUGCUUGUGCUACUUUGUGGAGGUAGUUUUUGGAUAUUAAAACCAUCCACUAUUUGAA